rnacentral:rRNA from 1 species
AUUAAAAUUUUGGUUGGGGUGACCUCGGAGCAAAACCAACCUCCGAAUGAUUAAAGCCUAGACUCAACAAGUCAAAGCAUUAGAAAUCAUAAAUUGACCCAAAUCCUUUUGAUCAACGGAACAAGUUACCCUAGGGAUAACAGCGCAAUCCUAUUUUAGAGUUCCCAUCGACAAUAGGGUUUACGACCUCGAUGUUGGAUCAGGACAUCCCAAUGGUGCAACCGCUAUUAAAGGUUCGUUUGUUCAACGAUUAAAGUCCUACGGAAUUCUGAGUUCAA